AAGUCGUAACAAGGUUUCCGUAGGUGAACCUGCGGAAGGAUCAUUAUUGAAUUUAAUGUAGAGUUGGUUGUAGCUGGCCUAAUUAAUCUUUGGGCAUGUGCACACCUUCUCUUUCAUCCACACACACCUGUGCACCUGUGAGGCAGAAGGGGACUUUUAAUUCAAUUUAAUUGGACCCUCUGUCUACUUAAUUCACACAAACUCUAUUUAUUUUAAAAAUGAAUGUAAUUGAUGUAACACAUCUAAUACUAAGUUUCAACAACGGAUCUCUUGGCUCUC
rnacentral:misc_RNA from 1 species